GGGAGAUCACGAGGAUCUCGUGUGAUUUUUCCCUUUUCCCUUCUGCUUAUGGCCGACCUUAGGAGAGGACCUUGCUAGUCGUCCCUGCGAACUGAGGCCUAGUGAGAGACUGAAUCCAGCUCCGGUUGGCUGCAGAGUCUAAUCCAGGACUUUGGAUGCCGGCUCUGCAGUUGCUGAGACUUUCAAGAUUGGUUUUAGGAGUUCAGCUUAUUUGAGUGAGCUACUGGGUCAUUUGGAAAAUGGAGUUCUGGGGAAUGACAGGUCGGAAGGACGGAUGAAGAUCGUAAAGGCACAAAGCACAGCAGCUCCUGCUCACAGCCGGCCGAAGACACAGGAAGGAUUUGGGCUGAAAAGCUGUUGCCCGUCCUUGGAAAGCAACCUCGCCCAUGUGGGGACAGACCGUCCCAGCCCCACCGCCCCACCAGGUGUCCGCUGGAGGAGGGACCAUGUCGAGCUGUGUCACAGCAUCGUCCUCUCCAGGGACUCACCAGACCUGCAUGGCAUCCGUGGAGAGCUGCUCCUGCUGCUGGAAGCUUCAGGGUGGCAAUAUCUUGCCACAGGAAGUCACUUUUAAUGUGGAAAUGAAUUAGUCUGUGUCUGUGGUUGCUCAAGAAGAUCAGGUAUUUAGUCCGUCUUAAUCCAUCUUCUGGCUAUCAGUGGUGCUGCUUUGUGAGCACUGAUAGAAGCAGGCUUCAAAAGACUGCGAUGCCCCGGGGUCCUCAGUGAGAACCACCGCGGACCCGGAUCAGAACCGGGGCACAGGAAAGAGAGUUCUCCUGCUGUCCUGCUGUUAAUUGAGUACAAGUUUUCAUCUGGCUACAGGAGAGUCAGAAAACCAUCAUAGCUGUGGGAUAAUGGGGGAAAGGUUUGAAGCUUAAGAGCUGGUCCCAGACUCACUGUCGGUCCUUCAGGAGGCAGGUCCCUGGCUGCGGGACAUCUGGGACCGCCGGGGUGUCCCUGGGCACGGGGCUGUUGUGACCAACUGACACCGUGGCACUGGAAUUUCCGUCCUGUUUGGACUCUGACUCCACUGCUGUCGUUCCAUGUCUGAGCAGUGACUUCGUGCCACACGCUGGUCCGUGUCUCACCCAUCACUGCGCAACCUGGGACCAGGCACGAGCCGAGCUGCAAAGCUUUACCUGCAGAGUCUGAACCUUUUUCUUACGACAAAAGUGAGUGGACUAUGGUUGAGAAUGAACUUACUAUAGAGCUCUUACUAGCAGAGUUUCAAUGGGAAUGGAAAUUGGACAUGAAUAUAGAGAUGUCUCAUGCAUGUUCGUGCUGAAAUUAGCUUAGGAUUCAAACAAAUAGUCAUGUAUUCUAUUACUGUAUUCGCACAGCUUUAAUCUAGAAUAAUAGACUUUACUGGAUAAUUGCAGAGACUCUUUAACAUGCAGCAUUGCAUAAAUUAAGUAAGUGAGUCAGCGGUGUUUUGUGGGCUGACGAAGAACCGCAGCGCUGGUUGGGGACGCAGAGACGCAGGUGACGCCCGUGGAAAUGAGAGGCCGGGGCCAGGCCCUGCUCCGCGCUGCCACCGUCCCCAGGCUGUCUGUCUGUCCUCGCCAGCCCUCUGCCACAGGGACACCAGGGACACCCCUCCCAUGGGCUCUGAGCCCGGGGGAAAAAGCCCUGUGCAUUUUUUUGUUUGUAAUAGAAAACAAAAGCAAUCCUGCCCUUGCCAGCUCUGUGAAAUGGAACGGAACACGAAUUCAGGUGCUGCAGCACCGUGAAAUCCACGCUCUCUCUUUUGGGCAAGGGGUGCAGAGCUGAAACUGAUGAGAUAGAAAAUACUGCACAAAAUGAACAGGAUCCAUGCAUACAAUUUAAAAUGUAGUUCAAACUUAUUACAUCAGCUAUGGCAUUCCAGAUGUCUCUUUCUGUCUCAUGUUCAGGCUAAAAUAUACCCAGCAUGCUUGAUAUGGUUCGAUUUAACAGACACAUGGAUUGCAAAUACAGCUGUUCUUUGAAAUCAGUGCAGUGCUGCUGCAAGAGGUCCAAACGCUUUAAUCAAAGAUUUCCAGUCCUCCUCCCUUUACAAACAAAUUAGAGCUGAGAAAGUACACAAGUGUCCACGUUUCCUUAAACGAAUCACCUGUACUUAGACACAGGAGAGUGAAGAGUAAAUACAUAACAAUAGUUAUUUCUUCUCCAUUAUAUUAAUUUACCGUGCCUUGUUUAAAGAAAUGGGUGCUUAGAGACAAUGCUGGCAACAAUGAUAAAAAUGUUUGCCAGAUAGUCCUCAUUACAAAAACUCAUUUUAGCUGCUAAUAACUUUGCCAAGGUUUCCAAAUCAGGCUCUUCCCUUAAGCUGAUGGUUUGGGGAUGGCUUAAGAAAAAAAAAGGUUUCUGUUGUCUGUUUCUUCUCCCUCUGCAACGAGGACUGCAGAAAACCAGCUCAAAAUGACACCGGGCUGGUACCGUCCCAGUGCACGCUGGUGCUGGACCGGCCGGCCCGGCGGUGGAAGGACCUUGUGCAGGUCGGUGCACGAUGUGUGGGUACGUGAACGGGGAUGGGGCUGAGCCCUGCGGGGUGACCCCCUGGCCUUUCUGCCUUGCAGGAGAGUUGUCUUGGAGGGAGUUCUCUUUGCAGAGGAUUUAUCAUUUUAUCUGACUUGCCGAGGUGUGAUGGGAAAGGGAACUUCUGGUUCAAACACACCUUGGAUGCCUUUGCAGCUCUGGCCCUGUGUCAGCAGCUCCUGCUGGUGGGGGACAGGGGCACGGACUGUGUCCCCACAGGUCCGGGGACAGGGACAUGGACUGUGCCCAACAGGUCUGGGUCUGACGGCUUCACCAUCACCCACAGCCGAGGGAACGGACAUUUUCAGCUUCUUCUGCAUAAUAUCAUAGUCCUGUUCCUUCUCUUGUGAAUUACCAUGUCUGCCAUACUGCGGAAAAAGGACAUUUUUCAUACCUUGCUACCACCGGGUCUCAUUGCUUAUUCCACUGUAUAUGUUUUUCUCAUUCUACUUUUAAUCAGGGUAACCUUUGGUUUCAUUGUUAUGCAGAUAACAUGCAAGCGUCUGGCUGUUCCUUCAGAUUCUCCAAAAAUGAUUUCCACUACUGAUUAGUGUUUUCUCAGACUAUGCAUAAUAGAGUCUUUGCAAAAUAAACA